rnacentral:lncRNA from 1 species
CUAAUGUUUCGGUUAUUUUGUUUCCUUAUUUGUUGGUUUUUUUAUUUUCCAAAAUUAUAUAUAAACCAUAUAGUUUUAUUCCAGAUUUUUUUUUUCGUUUCAAAAUAUUAUUAUUGAUUUGUUACCAAUAAUUUAGUAUUUCUUGUUAAAAUAAUCCUAAAUUUUUUUCCAACAAUUAUUUUUUUCGAAAUUAAUUUUUUUAAAGAUUAAAUUAUUUAUUUUAUUUCGAAAAUUAUGUUUUAUUUAUUUGUUUCCACAUAUUUAUGAUUCUCUUAAAACUAAU